GACGAACGCUGGCGGUGUGCUUAACACAUGCAAGUCGAACGGUAAGGCCCUUUCGGGGGUACGCGAGUGGCGAACGGGGGGGUAACACGUGCGUUUCUACCCCUCAUCUCUGGGAUAACAGUCGUAAUCGGUUGCUCGUACUUUGUGUGAACGUUCUAUGGGUAUAGGGUGUUGGAGAGAUUGUUUCUGUUUGUGGUUGGACUCUCGGCCUAUCAGCUUGUUGGUGAGGGAUUGGCUCACCAACGCUUCGACGGGUAUCCGGCAGCUGAGGGCGGAGGGCCACAAGGGACCUGAGAUACGGCACACAGUCCUGAGGGCGGCAGCAGUGGGGAAUAUUGCACAAUGGACGGAAGUCUGAUGCAUCAACGACGCGUGCGGGAUGAGGGAUGUUGGGUUGUAAACCGCUAUCAAUUGUGAGGUGGGAUGUUAGUGACGGUACCAGUAGAAGAAGCACCGGCUAACUACGUG
rnacentral:rRNA from 1 species